GAAAGGAGUAAUAAGUUUAUAUUGGAAGGUAGAGAAUUGGAGCACCAUCAAUCCCAAAUACAUUGAUGCCAGUAGAUAUGCAAAAAAACUGAUUUUGAGACAAACUUGAACCUGUUACUCCAGGGCCAAAUAUGCUGCAUCACGUGUUAACUGUGUAUUUCAAUACAAUGGUAGAAGAAGACGUUAGGAAUAGUGUUGCUGGUUUUGUAACAAAUGUUGACACCUCACUACAAAUGUUAACUCUAUUGCAACCUCUGCCUGAAACAAUUUACCUCAUGUCAGAUGUACAGUUCAUGGACAACAAUGCUUUAAACUGUGUGUUUGAAAAAAGACAGAAAAAAUAUUUUGUGUGUUAAGUAG